UACAGAGGUCUCAAGCGUUGUUCGGAAUUACUGGGCGUAAAGGGUGCGCAGGCCGCACGGGUAGUCAAAUGUGUAAUUCAGGGGCUCAACCCCUGCACUGCGCUUGAUACUUCCGUGCUCGAACCUUGGAGAGGAGUCUGGAAUUCUCGGUGUAGCAGUGAAAUGCGUGGAUAUCGAGAAGAACACUUAGGGCGAAAGCAAGACUCUGGACAAGUGUUGACGCUCAUGCACGAAGGCUAGGGGAGCGAAC
rnacentral:rRNA from 1 species